rnacentral:rRNA from 1 species
GACGAACGCUGGCGGCGUGCUUAACACAUGCAAGUCACGGGGGUCCCGCAAGGGAUAACCGGCGAACGGGUGCGUAACACGUGAACAACCUGCCCUCGUGUGGGGGAUAGCCAUGCUAACGCGUGGGUAAUACCGCAUACGUUCUUCUGGGGGAGUCCCCGGGAGAGGAAAGCUCCGGCGCACGGGGAGGGGUUCGCGGCCUAUCAGCUAGCUGGUGAGGUAACGGCUCACCAGGGCGACGACGGGUAGC